CCUACGGGAGGCAGCAGUGAGGAAUAUUGGUCAAUGGGCGAGAGCCUGAACCAGCCAAGUCGCGUGAGGGAGUACUGCCCUAUGGGUUGUAAACCUCUUUUGUCGGGGAGCAAAAGCCGGACGUGUCCGGCUGUGAGAGUACCCGCAGAAAAAGCAUCGGCUAACUCGGCGUCAGCAGCCGCGUUAAUACGGGGGAUGCGAGCGUUAUCCGGAUUUUUUGGGUUUAAAGGGUGCGCAGGCGGAUUUUUAAGUCAGCGGUAAAAUCGUGGGGCUCAACCCCAUCGAGCCGUUGAAACUGGGGUUCAUGAGUGGGCGAGAAGUAUGCGGAAUGCGUGGUGUAGCGGUGAAAUGCAUAGAUAUCACGCAGAACCCCGAUUGCGAAGGCAGCAUACCGGUGCACAACUGACGCUCAGGCACGAAAGCGUGGGUAUCGAACAGGAUUAGAUACCCUUGUAGUC
rnacentral:rRNA from 1 species